UUGCAGAUGCAUAGAACAUUCCAGCAGCCCAGAACAACUGUGUCCUUCCAGUGACCCUAUCCUUGGAAGCAUCCAUUGCUCCUGUUCCUCCCACUCGCUUGAUCUUCAGAUAUCAUGUGAGAACAUCAACACAAGCCUGUGCAGGUACAGGAAGUGACUAGUCUUGCCGAGUUGCUCUUCUGCCUGUGAAUUCUUGCUAAAGCAUGCCUAUGCAACCCUUGGCUCUGCAUCUCCUUAUGUCUCACAGCAUCUUCCAUCUUCGGUGGAACCCCAGCCCACAGGAAGCUAAGGCCUGAGGAUCAGGAGUUCAAGGCCAGCCAGGUCUUCCCGAGUACAGACACAAAGAGAAGCUCGGGUCACUCAGAAGUGGAAGGAAACACGCCCUAGCGUGACUAGUGCAGAUGGGAUCUAAGUGUUCAACUCACACAGGACUUUUGUCAUUCCGUUCCCGGGAGUAUUACUGCAGCAUCGCUUUCGCUUGUUCCCAGCUGAGUUCGUCAUGACGUAAUCGUAGGAAUCCGAGGAAGUGCGCGCGUCUCCAGGAAGCGAGAGUGACGCCACAGUCUGGCAUCUUGCAGUCUUCCCACUGCUCUGCCUGGACAUUUUGUGGAGAAUAUCCCAGAAUCUUGCGUUUGCCACCUCUAGUGGAGAAGCAGAUAGGUCACAGGGAGCUGAAUGCAGGAGGCAGCGCCAAGGCUCCCACCACCAGGAAGAACCGCCUCCAGAUGGUUCCCGGACCAAAGUGAGCAAUCACCUGUCAUCGCCUGUGGGAAGACGUCAGCAGGCAAUGCUUGCCAACAGCACCUGGACCAUCUCUGCUAGCUGACAAGACCUAACCAACCUUCUUUUAUCUUUCAUGACGUCUGUGCUUCCAAACUUACUAGAUACAAAUGCGAGGCGUUUUCUAAGUUUAAAUUCUCACUCAAAUCCCUAUUAAAAUUUUCCCCUGUG